ACUCAGUGUUGUGAUCUGGCAUUGGCUGAUCUCCCCGCGGGUUUGUAGACGGGCAAAUAUAGGGGCGACUAGGGGUCCUAGUUAGCGAUAGCCCAGCUAGCCCGCAUGCACAGGAGCGGCGUCUUCGGCAGGAGAAGCAGUAAAUGCAGAGUAAAUGGUUGGACGCAUGCGCUGUCCGGAUAGAUGCACACCGGCAUAAAUGUGCUGUAGCGGUGGAAUUGUGCACAGUAGUGAGAGUAAAGAAGUUGUGAAGAGACAUACGGACGUGCUGUGGAGUUAAGCGUGACCGGUUGUGCUAUAGUGUGAGGCAACGGGCGUUGGUGCUGGUGAAUGUAAGGAAGCUAAUGAACGCUGUGGACAGCGGCAGGCCAUUAUAACCAAGCUGGAAAGCGGGGCGUAUGGAGAACUGCUGCCUGUUAAUGUGAUAAGAGCUGUGAACUGCUGCUAGCUGCUGUUUUCUUUAUCCCUUAUUUUAUUUUAGAAAUGUUCUGAGUAAGACCCGGUUUUAAACUGUGUAUUAGAUUAUCGUUAUGGAAAUGCUACUCUGACUCCCAGUAUUUACGGUUUUUUUUAUCUCUUACCCCUUUUUUUAUCCUAGGGUUAUGAGUAAUUUGUAUUACUGCCUGUGAUUGUAAUCGUAUCAUCCAGUUGGGAUAAUGGGAAGGCUAUUCAUUGUAGUGAGCUAUUGAGUGGGGUGUAGUGUUCACUGAUUGGCAUUUGUAGUGAAAGUCUUAUUCUGCAUUUUAUUGAAUUGAUUUGAUUUGAGGGUGUCGUGAUUCACAGGCUAUUUAUUGGAAAUUAUAGAACUAUAUAGUUCAUCCUCUAUUCUCAGGCUGGAUGUAAGUUUCUA